rnacentral:rRNA from 1 species
CAUACGAUCUACGGAUGAAAGCAGGGGAUCGCAAGACCUUGCGCGAAUGGAGCGGCCGAUGGCAGAUUAGGUAGUUGGUGAGGUAAAGGCUCACCAAGCCUUCGAUCUGUAGCUGGUCUGAGAGGACGACCAGCCACACUGGGACUGAGACACGGCCCAGACUCCUACGGGAGGCAGCAGUGGGGAAUUUUGGACAAUGGGCGCAAGCCUGAUCCAGCCAUGCCGCGUGCAGGAUGAAGGCCUUCGGGUUGUAAACUGCUUUUGUACGGAACGAAACGGCCUUUUCUAAUAAAGAGGGCUAAUGACGGUACCGUAAGAAUAAGCACCGGCUAACUACGUGCCAGCAGCCGCGGUAAUACGUAGGGUGCAAGCGUUAAUCGGAAUUACUGGGCGUAAAGCGUGCGCAGGCGGUAAUGUAAGACAGUUGUGAAAUCCCCGGGCUCAACCUGGGAACUGCAUCUGUGACUGCAUUGCUGGAGUACGGCAGAGGGGGAUGGAAUUCCGCGUGUAGCAGUGAAAUGCGUAGAUAUGCGGAGGAACACCGAUGGCGAAGGCAAUNCCCCUGGGNCCUGUACUGACGCUCAUGCACGAAAGCGUGGGGAGCAA